UUUCAAAAUAAUUCACAACAUAAAUAUAUAUAUUUAACCGAACGACUAUGAAGUACAAGUACUCGUUAUAAGCUGGAGUACACAAAAACUGAAAUCUUGUUUAAAACGAAGAUCUCAGAUACACCCUAUCAUCAUAUUUUUUGAUAAAAGAUGUCCAUCUGCAGCCUGCCAUCCUGUGAGGAACGCUGUAAACUGAGGAGCAACAGGCAAAGACAAACAAAGGAAACAAAAGGAAACAUGAAAAGAGGGAGGAGAAGCAACAUCAGUGUGAGUCAUCUGUCACAAGGUUACCAUGACAACAAUAACUUGAGCUGCCUCCUGAUCCAAUUGCACCCGCAGGUCUUGGGAGAGAAGAUAUUGUAAUCAGAGCGAUAUCACUCUGAGCAUCAGUUCAUCAUUUGUAAGGAGACUAAGGAGGCCAUAGGCCACGUCUUAUUGAGGCCUGUAAGACUUCUGGUUUUAUGGUGAUCUGAGAGACUGAAGUUCAUUUCAGUCUGUUAUCACUGAAGGAAAAUAAACUAGACUGAUCAAGUGAAUUAGAUAGGAGCAUUCAUAUACAGGUGGUUUAAAGCGUUACACUUUUGUGUAUGGAUUACAAUAAAAUGCAAUUUAUGCUUUUACAUAUGGUUGAUGAUAGGAUAAUGAGGACACCUACAGGAUUGUUCUCAAUAAGCUCUACAAUAAUGUAGCAGUAAUAUUUUUUCUGACCCCUACUGGACAUUAAUUUGUAUUACACCCGUGCUAAGUUAAUAUUUUCACCCACCAGAUGGAGCCAGUUAAUCACCAGCGAGUCCAGUAACUUUGUAAAACACAUAAAUGAGGUGAAAUGAGCCUGUCUUUCAUAAUUAGUUGUUUUAUAAAAUUUGAACUCAUACUGUAUACUUAUAUUAUUAUAUAUUUGCACACACUUUAGUAGAAUAGGAGCUUCUUUGUUGAAGGGAACUGGUUGAUUUGGUUUGAUUGGGUCAUACACACACUUUAGUUCAUGAGGGUUGUUUAUCUAUAAACAUUUAACAACUGGAGCCAUUGUGAAAGUAAUCAUAGUAAAGCACUUUUUAAAUCUGGAUACUGAGGAACAAAUGACUGAAGGGAUCCACUCAUCAUAUAAUGGAAAGUUGUGGCUUAAACAUCUAAGCAAGCCUAUAAAAUGUAAACUUUUUAUUACAAUCAAACCCACAGAGAGGAUUCCAAGAGCCAACCAUCGUUUUAUAGCACUGGUAAUAAUUAUUUUUCCACUCUGAACAGUGAUUGUUCUGGCAGUUUCACUUGGCAGAAUGUGUUUGACAUUAUGAGGCUGAGAUAACUCACUAUUUUUAACACUAAAGGAAGGAAAAUGAAUACUACACUGUUGCUUUGGCUGCCUUGUAAUUGAGAUGGCUGUUGUUCCUGUUAAAGCUGACAUUUAAGACAGGAUGCACUUUUUUAUUCAUUAGAGCUAUUCAUGCCCCAUUAUUCCCUGAAGUCAAAUUUUAAAGAGCAAUAACCCCAGCCUCACUUCUGAUAUAAAUAGUGAUCUGUCUGCUUUUCCUAAUAAUUAGAGCAAAGAUGCACUCAGUCAAACAGUUGCAUAGGUUCAGGCUUAGAAAGAUUAGAUCAAACACACACUCACAGAUGUUGCAUAUUUCUUCUUGCUGUCCACUGUUUGCAGUUUGGAUGAUUACAUAACCAGGUCAGGUAUGAGGCAGUGUUUGCAGGACACCAUCAUGUCAGCUCUCACCUUGAGGGGCUUCAGCAGUGGAAAGAAAAUGCUCAA